GACGAACCGUGCGAACGUUGUUCGGAAUCACUGGGCUUAAAGGGCGCGUAGGCGGCUGCCAAGUCCGUGGUGAAAUCCUCCGGCCCAACCGGAGAACGGCCUCGGAUACUGGCGGCCUGGAGGGGGGUAGGGGCGAGCGGAACUGUGGGUGGAGCGGUGAAAUGCGUUGAUAUCCACAGGAACUCCGGUGGCGAAGGCGGCUCGCUGGACCCCACCUGACGCUGAGGCGCGAAAGCCAGGGGAGCGAACGGG
rnacentral:rRNA from 1 species